UAGUAAUAAUCGUGGAUCAGAAUGCCACGGUGAAUACGUUCCCGGGCCUUGUACACACCGCCCGUCACACCAUGGGAGUGGGUUGCAAAAGAAGUAGGUAGCUUAACCUUCGGGAGGGCGCUUACCACUUUGUGAUUCAUGACUGGGGUGAAGUCGUAACAAGGUAACCGUAGGGGAACCUGCGGUUGGAUCACCUCCUUA
rnacentral:rRNA from 1 species